GAUGGACCCGCGGUGCAUUAGCUAGUUGGUGAGGUAACGGCUCACCAAGGCAACGAUGCAUAGCCGACCUGAGAGGGUGAUCGGCCACACUGGGACUGAGACACGGCCCAGACUCCUACGGGAGGCAGCAGUAGGGAAUCUUCGGCAAUGGACGAAAGUCUGACCGAGCAACGCCGCGUGAGUGAAGAAGGUUUUCGGAUCGUAAAACUCUGUUGUCAGAGAAGAACAAGGAUGAGAGUAAAACGUUCAUCCCUUGACGGUAUCUAACCAGAAAGCCACGGCUAACUACGUGCCAGCAGCCGCGGUAAUACGUAGGUGGCAAGCGUUGUCCGGAUUUAUUGGGCGUAAAGCGAGCGCAGGCGGUUUCUUAAGUCUGAUGUGAAAGCCCCCGGCUCAACCGGGGAGGGUCAUUGGAAACUGGGAGACUUGAGUGCAGAAGAGGAGAGUGGAAUUCCAUGUGUAGCGGUGAAAUGCGUAGAUAUAUGGAGGAACACCAGUGGCGAAGGCGGCUCUCUGGUCUGUAACUGACGCUGAGGCUCGAAAGCGUGGGGAGCGAACAGGAUUAGAUACCCUGGUAGUCCACGCC
rnacentral:rRNA from 1 species